rnacentral:rRNA from 1 species
CCACCCUACGGGGCGCAGCAGUGAGGAAUAUUGGUCAAUGGGCGCGAGCCUGAACCAGCCAAGUCGCGUGAGGGAAGACGGUACAGCGUAUCGUAAACCUCUUUUGUCAGGGAACAAAGGCGAGGACUAGUCCCCGGAUGAGGGCACCUGAAGAAAAAGCAUCGGCUAACUCCGUGCCAGCAGCCGCGGUAAUACGGAGGAUGCGAGCGUUAUCCGGAUUUAUUGGGUUUAAAGGGUGCGCAGGCGGCCUGUUACGUCAGCGGUAAAAGCCCGGGGCUCAACCCCGGCGUGCCGUUGAAACUGGG